UUGCAAGCAAGUCAUAGUGGAAGCAUCGGGGGGGAGCUGAAGCGGGGUUGCCUGGGUCUUGUGGGCGCUAGUGGCCGCGCGUGGCAAGGGCUCAGGCUAACUCGAAGCAAGGUUCCGUAGCGCGCGGAGGAUAUCGGCAGGGAGGAGGCGGGGAGGCCAGGUGGGGUGCUUUGGGAUUGGGGUAGGGCGAGGGCGCGCGCCAGCGGUACCCGUAGCUUCUCCCGGGGUAGAGGGCCGCGAGGUCGAGGUCCGCGGUGGCGGCCGGCGGGCCGCUGCUGCGGAGGAGGGGCUUCGCGGUCUUCGCGUCGGUAGUGGCGGUAGUGGUGGCGGUGGUGCCGGUGCCGGCGCCCCUGUCCCCUCUGGUCCUCAGCCCGAGCGCCGGCGCCCACAGCCCCCGCUCCGGCCCCCUCGCGCUCCAUCUCCUACCACUCUAUCAUCUGCUGCGGCGGCGACGGAGUUCCCCCGGCCCACGGCUGAAGCCGUUCCGCCCCAGCCACAAGCCGCCAGACCGUGGACGAGGCCCUACACUACUAUUUAAACUACGUUUGUUCUUCACAUCUCUCCGGUUGGUGUCUUCUUUCUCUAGACUCCUUUAGUUCCUUGUUAGAACGUUCCUCCUUCUAGUUCCACUGAAGCUUUUGAAACGUUUCGUUCUUCUUCUACUAGAAUUUUUUUGAUUCCUCCUUCGUUCUUUCUCCUACCUACGAUAAGACCUCUUCGUGGCCGUUGCGGUCAAAGUCUUCCUUGUGGUCCCUGGACACGGAACGGUACUAUCAUGUCUUCAUUCUCUACGACGAGGGUGACUUCAUUUUCUACGGUUAAGUCAGUGACAUUAACAAUUACUUUUUAGGAUGUGAUACCCCUUCUGAGGAGGAUAGGUCGGAUUGUAAAGUUAGUUGAGCCCCUAUAGACCACUAGUUUCCUGCCGUACACAAAGUCCUCAAGUUCUCCCGUAAGGGUACCCACGUUCUAGAAGUCUAUAUGAGACGCUACUAUAAAAACCUCAUAGAGGAUAAUCUCAAGUCUUUAGCCCAUUAGAUCUUCCAUACGUACACUCUUUUUUAAGCGAAGCGCUGUUGACCCUACUACUCGUACCUAUAAUGUUCAUGGUGAAUCCCCUUCACGAUCUACCGGUAAUGUCUUAAUGUCGUCCGAGACCCUUCCCUCAAAAGAGUUGUCAACAGGUCCGUUUCCUAGAUUUUCGGCCCCUUUUACUAGGACUUCAUCGAUAGUUUUAAUAGACGUUACUUUUUCUUUCCAUGUUUAGACCAUUCUCCCUCCAAAGACAUGACCUUUUUAACAGUUCACGUCUAGCACUUCUGUUUGCUGUGACACAGGCCAAAUAAAGAUCAAAGUACAUAGCCCUAGUAGAGACAAAUCAAGAACUUAGGGAAGUAUACUUAGAAGCACUCCAAUAUUUCUUUAAACCAGCACUAUAUCCCGACUUCGAAUGACGACAUUCCUGCAUGAGCUUUGUCGAAAAGUAGCGUAACUUCGUGGAUUUCCUAACGUCAUAGGAGGUAACACUAUAAUUUGGUCUAUUAUAUGACCAUUUACCCAGAUCUUUGUACAACUUUGAGACACUAAAACCAUCACGAAACGGACGGCCUUAUUUACUAUAGUGUGGUUAAGAACACUCGGCGAAGAUGGCCCGUGGACUCUAUUAAGAACCUAACGGCAUGCUGGUAAGUAACCUAUACACCAGUCAUCCGACAACGGAUAUACUUGAAAUGUGACCUUUUUAGAAUAAAGGACCACCCUGCUUGUUACCGUACGAAACCGAAGUGUACCUUAACUUCCCAGGCAAGGGAUUCUUCUACGAAGCUUUCCCUCGAAAAUGUUGAGUUGUGAAACUGGUCCCGGAAUUAAAGGUACGGUGACUACUCUUAGACCACUUCUUCCGCCACUUAUUUCACACAUACUUGCAAUUUGGUUCACCACAACCAGGGUUUUAUAGUUCGAAGGGUCCGCUCCUAGGCUUUUACGAUAGGUCCAAAUUUCUAGAGGACCUCUUUUAUAAACACGAGCUAGGUGUUUUCUCCGAGUGACACAGUGUUCGCGAAUCGGUAGGUAAAUAGUGACCGUUCACUUUAUUUCUACUAGUAUGAAGAGUGAACAUUGUAUAACUCGUAAACUCGAAUCGAAGAAAAAAGACUUGAUUUAAUGUACAGAUUGGCUGCACGCCAAGACAGUAAAGGAACACUCCAAAAUCGAAACUCUACAAACUAUGGUCCUGCUUCGUACCCUCCCGCUUUUACGCGAAACAACCGGCUCGAUGGACCUCCGGCAAUAGUGUAGGCAGUCAUGAACAGCACUAGUCGCGACUCGCCCAUACGUCGACGGCAUAAAAGUCAGGUCAGACAACGUGUCAUGGGCAUAAAACUGUCCUGGACUCUCCGGACAGGUACUUAAGUCUCCUUUUUGACUUCUUGUGAUCCUUAAACACCCGCUUAAAACCCCCUAAAAGUAAGUGCGUCUCAUCGAGCUUGAUCCCAAACCGGUCGGCCUUGUGCCGCCGCCUAUUCCCGGUUCGGGCUAAUGUUAGACCUACGGGGUUCCUCCUCCGGAGGCCCCAGAUUUAUAUGUCGACCUUCCCUUUUCGUUCUGUCGCUGUCCUUUGACUAAUGUCAUGUUGCGUCAUUGAAAACUUUUUCAUUUUCUGAUAGAACCCGGCAGGUGAACUUCUAGUUGCCUCCUGCAGCGUCCUCCGAACUACUUCACCAUUCAACGAGACAACGGCAGCCUAGCAUCUAGCUGUCGGUAGCGAGCUUAACUGUGCGACUUCGCCAUGACUUCGAAUAGUCCAUAACAGCUACUGACGAUGUCAGGACUGUUAAGGGGGGACGUUUCUUGUCUGAACGGGAGUUCCGACCUCGAGGCCCUUUUGGAAGACCUACUUGCUCCGCAGAAGGGUGCACCGAAAAAGGCGACCAUUCAAGUGGGUAAACUACUCGGUGACGUGCUGACCCUACGACUACAGAGGAACGUGAGACCCUUGCUCAAAAGAGACGUCAUACCGAAGUCCAACAUAAUCUUACACAGGGAGUAGUAGCUAGUCACCAUCAACACCCAACCCGUGACGGAGUCCGGGGUCUACAAAGAAGUUGACUGACUACACUUUACAACCUACAUUAAACGUUGGGAGUCCUUCCUCAUUAGACAUCCGAUGAGAGGGUUAAAAGAGGUUCUGAAAUUUUCCCGGUAUCAUGAACCUCACGUUAAAUUCUACAAACACCUACGAAUUCGACCACACGGACAUUCCAACAUCGAACUGUAUCUGGUAUAGAGGGUGGAGGUCACAAGCCAGUCUAGAAAAGAACAGUCGUUUUAUAAAGUAAGACAGAACCCGGAAUUCCUCUAAAACGAACUAAACCCGACGUUACCAUAGAGACAGGUCGAGACGACAGGGUAGAAGGAGAAGUCCACCACCAUUGUAUUCAAGUCGUUAUUCUCCUCCUCCAGAACGUAUAUUACGAACUUUUCCACAGUAAAAGUUCCUACAUACUUUCGACCACAACAUGGUGGUAAGACGGUACCUGUCGGUGAACAUGGUAAAGAACCCUACUCGUUUACGGUACGUAGACUCUAUCAAAAGGUUCGUAACUAAAUGGGAAAGACAUACAGGUAGUCAAACUCCCACCAUUCUACACGACUCUACGUCAAAGUGAGGGUAAAAGACCUUGUCAAAGACGGUGUCUACUGACCACUUAUAAGACAGAGACAGUCAAUGGUAAUGACAUCCUUCCGGUACGUCAAACUUGUGUAAUAGUCACUUUCGAACACGAUGACAACACUGUAACUACCCCACAAAUUCCGGUUACUUUACUCGUAUAAAUCACUUGGAUAGUUGAUGGUGGUCAUAGUCCAGAAACAACAGUCUUUGUCCAUCAGGAAGGUGUUUUAGGUAUGACUACACACAGGUACGUUUCAGACCCUGUCCGUCCCCAACGUCCUCUGGUCCUAUUCCCUUUACCACACGAAACAACUCAACUGUAUGACCCGUGACAACCUGUUUCAAAAAUUGACGAACAGAGUACGGACCGGUCCACUUGUCUUAAAACUCAGACACUAUACAUCGAGAGAGAGGUCUUACCGGUGGAUUAAGUCUACAUACCUUUCUUCACUACUCUCUACGAGAGUCAAGGCACUGCAACGGUUACUCCUAAAAAGGAAAUAUAGAGUCCUGUGGUGACCACUCCCUUAUUCCUCCAAAAGGUAAUCCUCGUUAUCGAUCGACAAGGUCCUCAAGACUCGUAAACUCUAGAACAAACAUCGACAAAUGAUGAAGACAAUAGGUACAACCUUACCGUCGACAUCUCCACUCUCGAACGUCUCGUAUGAACUGAGACCUCUCCCGUAGACGAUGAAACAAAAGAAAAGGAAAGAACAUGAGGUGGAACUUAAACAUGGGGUUUUCGAAUUAAUUGUCAAACACAACUUAUGGAAGACA
rnacentral:rRNA from 1 species